rnacentral:rRNA from 1 species
GACGAACGCUGGCGGCGUGCUUAAUACAUGCAAGUCGAACGGAAAGGCCCUGCUUUUGUGGGGUGCUCGAGUGGCGAACGGGUGAGUAACACGUGAGUAACCUGCCCUUGACUUUGGGAUAACUUCAGGAAACUGGGGCUAAUACCGGAUAGGGGCUCCUGCUGCAUGGUGGGGGUUGGAAAGUUUCGGCGGUUGGGGAUGGACUCGCGGCUUAUCAGCUUGUUGGUGGGGUAGUGGCUUACCAAGGCUUUGACGGGUAGCCGGCCUGAGAGGGUGACCGGCCACAUUGGGACUGAGAUACGGCCCAGACUCCUACGGGAGGCAGCAGUGGGGAAUAUUGCACAAUGGGCGGAAGCCUGAUGCAGCAACGCCGCGUGCGGGAUGACGGCCUUCGGGUUGUAAACCGCUUUCGCCUGUGACGAAGCGUGAGUGACGGUAAUGGGUAAAGAAGCACCGGCUAACUACGUG